ACGGUCCUAAGGUAGCGAAAUUCCUUGUCAGGUAAGUUCUGACCCGCACGAAUGGUGUAAUGAUUUGGGCACUGUCUCAACAGCCCGCCCGGCGAAAUUGUAGUACCGGUGAAGAUGCCGGUUACCCGCGACAAGACGGAAAGACCCCAUGGAGCUUUACUGUAGCUUAAUAUUGGGUUUCGAUAAUUUAUGUACAGGAUAGGUGGGAGGCUUUGAAGCAGAGGCGCCAGCUUCUGUGGAGCCACCCUUGGGAUACCACCCUUAGAUUGUUGGAAUUCUAACCUGCGGCCGUGAAUCCGGCCGGGGGACAUUGUUAGGUGGGCAGUUUGACUGGGGCGGUCGCCUCCAAAAAGGUAACGGAGGCGCUCAAAGGUUCGUUCAGCACGGACGGAAACCGUGCAGUGAGUGUAAACGCAUAAACGAGCCUAACUGCGAGACCGACGGGUCGAGCAGUAACGAAAGUUGGAGUUAGUGAUCCGGCGGUAUGUGCGUGGAAAUGCCGUCGCUCAACGGAUAAAAGCUACCCUGGGGAUAACAGGCUGAUCUCCCCCAAGAGUCCACAUCGACGGGGAGGUUUGGCACCUCGAUGUCGGCUCAUCGCAUCCUGGGGCUGUAUUCGGUCCCAAGGGUUUGGCUGUUCGCCAAUUAAAGCGGUACGCGAGCUGGGUUCAGAACGUCGUGAGACAGUUCGGUCCCUAUCUGUCGUGGGCGCAGGAUAUUUGAGGAGCGCUGUCCCUAGUACGAGAGGACCGGGAUGGACGCACCUCUGGUGCACCAGUUGUCACGCCAGUGGCACAGCUGGGCAGCUAUGUGCGGAUCGGAUAAACGCUGAAAGCAUCUAAGCGUGAAGCCGGCCUGGAGAUAAGAUAUCCCACUGAGAUAAUCAGGUAAGACCCCUUGAAGACUACAAGGUUGAUAGGCUCAAAGUGUAAGCACGGUGACGUGUUCAGCUAGCGAGUACUAAUCGGUCGAGGGCUUGACCAC
rnacentral:rRNA from 1 species